rnacentral:rRNA from 1 species
AAACCUGCCUUUCAUUUUGGGAUAACUCCGGGAAACCGGGGCUAAAACCGAAUACUCCGUCUCGGCGGCAUCGCUGAGCCGGGAAAAAAUUUUGAUGAAAGAUGGUCUCGCGGCCUAUCAGCUAGUUGGUGAGGUAAUGGCUCACCAAGGCAACGACGGGUAGCCGGCCUGAGAGGGCGACCGGCCACACUGGGACUGAGACACGGCCCAGACUCCUACGGGAGGCAGCAGUGGGGAAUAUUGGGCAAUGGGCGCAAGCCUGACCCAGCGACGCCGCGUGAGGGAUGAAGGCCUUCGGGUUGUAAACCUCUUUCAGUAGGGAAGAAGCGAAAGUGACGGUACCUAAAGAAGAAGCACCGGCUAACUAUGUGCCAGCAGCCGCGGUAAUACAUAGGGUGCAAGCGUUGUCCGGAAUUAUUGGGCGUAAAGAGCUCGUAGGUCGUUUGCCGCGUCGAUUGUGAAAAUCUGAGGCUCAACCUCAGACCUGCAGUCGAUACGGGCAAACUAGAGUGUGGUAGGGGAGACUGGAAUUCCUGGUGUAGCGGUGGAAUGCGCAGAUAUCAGGAGGAACACCAAUGGCGAAGGCAGGUCUCUGGGCCAUAACUGACACUGAGGAGCGAAAGCGCGGGGAGCGAACAGGAUUAGAUACCCUGGUAGUCCGCGCCGUAAACGGUGGGCACUAGCUGUGAGGACCUUCCACGGUCUUCGCGACGCAGCAAACGCAUUAAGUGCCCCGCCUGGGGAGUACGAUCGCAAGAUUAAAGCUCAAAGGAAUUGACGGGGCCCCGCACAAGCAGCGGAGCAUGCGGCUUAAUUCGACGCAACGCGAAGAACCUUACCAAGGCUUGACAUAUAGCGAAAAGUGGCAGAGAUGUCAUGU